rnacentral:lncRNA from 13 species
AUGGUGUGUGCACACACACGCUCCGUGCUCUCUGCCCUGUGCACACACGCGUGUGCAACCGUGUCCAGGUGUGCACAGGCACGCACACACCGAGAUCCCCACACGGACCUCUGCGAUGCUUCAGAGGGGACCCCAUGUGUCCCCCUGUCCCCAUCCCCACACCCCAUCCAGGCCACCGUUCCCCCGGCCCCCUACCCGCCCCCGCCUGGCCCCGUGUCUCCCUUCCCCACCGCGGCCCCUCUCCCCUCCCUCAGCCCAGCCUUUUCCCUUCCAGCUCCCUGUUUGAAGCUAUUUUUUCCACAGCUCCUGCCAAGAGCCGCUAAUGAGAAACAAACGGGCUCCUCGGCCGCGGCUGCUCCCGGCCCACACACCUCCGGCCGAGGGGCUGGGGCUACACCUCCCGGUGCCCUCCUGGCAGAGGCCCCGGGCACCUGCAUCCUCCCCAUCUGGCACCGGCACCGGGCAUCUGCAUCGCGCCCAUCUGGCACCUCCGUCCUCGCCGUCAGCACCGUCCCUGAGCACCUCCAUCCUCCCUGUCCGGCACCGUCCCUGGGCAUCUCCAUCCACCGGAGUGCCACCAUCGCCGGGUGUCUCUGUCCUGCCCAUGUGCCACCAUCCCUGAGCAUCUUAACUGUCCCCAUGUGUAACCAUCGCAGGGUGUCACCAACCUCCCCUUCCAGCACCAUCCCUGGGCAUCUCCAUCCUGCCCACCCAGCAUCUCCCAUGGGCACCUCUGUCCUGUCCACGUGCCACUGUCCCUGGGCAUCGCUGUGCUGCCCAACUGCCACCAUCCCUGGGCAUCUCAUCCUCUCCACUUGUCACCAUCCCAGGGCAUUUCCAUCCUGCCACCAUCCCUGGGGUCUCCACCCUGCUGCAGGGCAGGGCUGGGCCAAGGCCAGGCGCCACCAGCCUCCCAGCACCUCCGUGUCCCCUGCUCUCCGGUGUCCCGUGCCCGUGACCAGGCGGGGUGCCAGAGAGGUGCCGGGGGCGGGGUGGAGCGAGGUGUGA